rnacentral:rRNA from 1 species
UACGGGGGGGGCAAGCGUUGUUCGGAAUUACUGGGCGUAAAGGGCUCGUAGGCCGCCAACUAAGUAGACGUGAAAUCCCUCGGCUUAACCGGGGAACUGCGUCUGAUACUGGAUGGCUUGAAUCCGGGAGAGGGAUGCGGAAUUCCAGGUGUAGCGGUGAAAUGCGUAGAUAUCUGGAGACACCGGUGGCGAAGGCGGCGAGUCCUGGACCGGCAUUGACGCUGAGGAGCGAAAGC